GGUCAUCGAGCUAAGUUGAAGUCUAAAAUAUUGAUUGUACGAUUUGUGUAUGUUGAUUAAGUAACUCUGCUGUAACCUAUAGUCGACCCCAUUUAUAUGUCCCUCAAAGCUCUCACCAGAGACAUGGUUACUAACUACCUUGAGAAUUUCUCUAAGCUCUGCCAGUUAGAUAAAAUAAUCAAGAGACUUCGACCAUUCGGAAGCACUUCGGAAGGGUGAAGCAAUGGCGUGAGGGAUUGUGGUGCCCGCUCGGCUUUGAGAUUCUGAUCCUUGCUCCGGCGUUUAGCCUCGUGACUGAUCUCGAGGCGGUCUAUUUCGAGAUUACAGGAUGAGCCAUCAGACAGCUGCAGCCCUGGAUCUCCUUCUAUCUUGAUUUGCCUAUUUAUAUUUCCGGACAGUUUCAAUUUGUAUUUCGGACUUGUACUAUUUAGAAGCACCUGUAUGAAUUAGACCAGAUUUUGGGGUUUUAAAGACUAGAGUAUCAUUUCCGCACUUA